AUUGAACGCUGGCGGCAGGCUUAACACAUGCAAGUCGAGCGAGCGGCGGACGGGUGAGUAAUGUCUGGGACACUGCCUGAUGGAGGGGGAUAACUCCUGGAAACGGUAGCUAAUACCGCAUACCAUCAGAUGUGCCCAGGUGGGAUUCGAUAGUAGGUGGGGUAAUGGCUCACCUAGGCGAAGAUCCCUAGCUGGUCUGAGAGGAUGACCGGCCACACUGGAACUUAGACACGGUCCAGACUCAUACGGGAGGCAGCAGUGGGGAAUAUUGCACAAUGGGCGAAAGCCUGAUGCAGCAAUGCCGCGUGUGUGAAGAAGGCCUUCGGGUUGUAAAGCACUUUCAGCGAGGAGGCGGUACUCGCAGAAGAAGCACCGGCUAACUCCGUGCCAGCAGCCGCGGUAAUUC
rnacentral:rRNA from 1 species